rnacentral:rRNA from 1 species
UACGUAGGGGGCGAGCGUUGUCCGGAGUUACUGGGCGUAAAGGGCAUGCAGGCGGUCCGACACGUUUUGUGUGACGAGCGGGUGGCUUAACUACCCGAGGAUGCGAAAGACGGUUGGACUUGAGGACUCGAGAGGGACACGGAAUUCCGGGUGGAGUGGUGAAAUGCGUAGAGAUCCGGAGGAACACCGAAGGCGAAGGCAGUGUCCUGGCGAGUGACUGACGCUGAGGUGCGAAAGCCAGGGGAGCGAACGGG